AAGUUUUUAGUAUAUGAGUACAUUUACCUUCCAAGUAAAAAGAUUAUUAAAUUAUAAAAAACUUA
rnacentral:tRNA from 1 species